AAAGGGGCUGGAUUCAAGCUAGACCGUAAACGGGCGGCCUUCUGCCAGAUGAUGCUGGAUGCCUGCAGCGCUGAAUUUCGCUCGCGGUUAUGUGCCAUGCAUUCACUCGGUGGAUUGGCGUGAACUCUGUUUAGACAUUGGGAGAGUGCACUUCCCCCCUAGUAGAAUCGUCGCGACCCGUUGGGUGCCAGUCUAAGGCCCGGGAUGUUAACCGUGGUACUGGAAGGUAAGGUUCCCUAAGGUCCAUGGAACGCCUGGUGACCCGGCUGGCUGCCCGACGGUAUGAGCAGAGGAGUCUAUCCGCUGAAUAUGAAACACAAAGAGGUGUAGCGUCCGGGCCUGGUGCGAAGUGCGCGGGAGCAACUGGGGGGAGACCGUGUCAAUCCCGGCCCCAGCCCGUCUCGUCUUCGAUGCCAGUGUCGCAGGACCGGAUCAGCACUCCCGUCUGCGACGACUUUCUUCAGAUACUCUCCCG
rnacentral:rRNA from 1 species